AUACGUAGGGGACGAGCGUUGUCCGGAAUUACUGGGCGUAAAGGGCGCGCAGGCGGAUAUUUAAGUCAGCUGUAAAAGGCAUGAGCUCAACUCAUGUAUGCGGUUGAAACUGGGUAUCUAGAGUGCUGGAGAGGUAGGCGGACUUCCCGGUGUAGCGGUGAAAUGCGUAGAUAUCGGGAAGAACACCAGUGGCGAAGGCGGCUUACUGGCCAGCAACUGACGCUGAGGCGCGAAAGCCAGGGGAGCGAACGGGAUUAGAUACCCCGGUAGUCCUGGCCGUAAACGAUGAAUGCUAGGUGUGGGUGUCGAGAGGCAUCCGUGCCGGAGUUAACGCGAUAAGCAUUCCGCCUGGGGAGUACGAUCGCAAGAUUGAAACUCAAAGGAAUUGACGGGG
rnacentral:rRNA from 1 species